rnacentral:lncRNA from 1 species
CUUUUAGCAGUUAGAAGAACUAACAAAUGAAUAUCCAACAAAAGGGAAUAGAAAUACAUUGUACUGCCAAUACUUUGGUUUAUUCUUUGUAUGACUUGAAAAUCAGGCUUUAGGGAAAACUAAAUGACAUGUUUCUAUCAUCAAUUACAUGAAGUAAACACACAAGCACUUGCAUACACAUUUAAGACAUGAGACACGCUAAUUCCAUCUCAUAAAAUGUGUCUAUAGGUGAGACGCUUUGCGUUGAUUGGUGCUGCUGGACCACACUGGAGGUGCAAGUCCGCCGUGUAAUGGUUUAUGCCAUUACAAAGGAGCUGGCCUCUGUACUCAACUGGGCAGGGGAAAAAACCAAGGACCAGACAAAGCAAAAAAGGGCAUUUAAAGAGACAGCGCUGUGCAGAUGCAUAUUUGAUGGCCUGGCGCAGUAGGUAGGGGCGAACUCUAUGUCUGAGUUGGUCUUUGCUCAAGCAGUCCAGAAAUGGCUCAGAUAUGCUCCAGAUCGUACGGGUGGCGCGCAGGACGCACAUCAUCCAUCCCCAUCCCGGAGUAAAUAAUAAAAAGUGACGUGAAACAUAGAAAUGUAAAUAGGAAACUUUGUCUUUUAAUAAAGUAUUUUGCAAAUGAUACAUGUCUAUUGACCUUUUUUGUUUUUUUGUUUUUUUUCAAUAAAAAGCAACUGUACGAAAGAGGUGGAAAAUCAAUACCAUAGCUCAACAGUGUUUCAAUAUCAGAAUCUGACAUUGUUUCAAUGUCAACAGUGUUAGAAAAUAUAACGUAGAAUCAAUGUCAGGUUUCAACAUUGAUUCAACAUCAAAACCUGACGUUGUUUCAACGUUAAAAAUGGGUGCAAGAGUGAUGUUGGGUCAACGUCACACUUCAACGUUGCUUCAAUGACGUCGCCUGAUAUUGACUCAACAUUGUUUCAAUGUUUCCUUGCUAUCUGGGUGGUUAAAGUGUCAGUCACAGUUUUCCGUGUCUGCUCAGUGGAUGUUUGGGAGUUUAAUUCAUGAACAGAUACAUUUUCAGCUGGUGCUGAAACACUUGUUUGGGGUAUUCUGUAUUCGGUGGUUUCAUUAGCAUCUCUUUGAUCAGCAACAUUUGCACUCUGAAACUCAAUGGGCUGAAGCUCAUAAGUGCAGGUUGGUGUGAUGCUAAACAUUCGGUACAAGCAUUUGAUCCUGUCAAUCAUGUCGUUAAGACGUGUGAAUUUUAACAUAACUGCAGUUCCACCACUUACAGCUAGCGACAAUGGCAUUCCUGUAGACUUACGUGGGUGAGGGUCAAAAUAUGCGUAUUCACCUGAAGUCAGCCUGCAAACUGCGAUGACUGUACUUGCCAUGACUAGCAAAGCAUAGCGAACGUCUGAAACCAAACACUGUAGUCCCUGUUCAAGGCUCAGAAGGUGAUCUGUACUAUCAAAUGUGCCGUAACGACCACACUGAGACAUGUCCACUUGAUACUCAUGUGUGCGGCUGGUGAC